CCUACGGGAGGCAGCAGUGGGGAAUAUUGCACAAUGGGGGAAACCCUGAUGCAGCGACGCCGCGUGAGUGAAGAAGUAUCUCGGUAUGUAAAGCUCUAUCAGCAGGGAAGAAAAUGACGGUACCUGACUAAGAAGCCCCGGCUAACUACGUGCCAGCAGCCGCGGUAAUACGUAGGGGGCAAGCGUUAUCCGGAUUUACUGGGUGUAAAGGGAGCGUAGACGGCAGUGCAAGUCUGGAGUGAAAAGCAGGGGCUGAACCCCGGAACUGCUUUGGAAACUGUACGGCUGGAGUGCAGGAGGGGUAAGCGGAAUUCCUAGUGUAGCGGUGAAAUGCGUAGAUAUUAGGAGGAACACCAGUGGCGAAGGCGGCUUACUGGACUGUAACUGACGUUGAGGCUCGAAAGCGUGGGGAGCAAACAGGAUUAGAUACCCCAGUAGUC
rnacentral:rRNA from 1 species